UGAUAACCUUCACUUGUGAGCAGAAUGAGAUCUUUCAUAUAAGUUCCUUCUUCCUCCAAUGAGUGCUCAACAGUCUGAAAGAUGGAGUUUCUAUGAGUUUUGAGCCUUGUUUGGUUUUAAUUGUGACCAAAUAGGUUAAGUACUAGUGGAAAGAAUAUGGCCAUGGAAUAUCUACCCCAGUAUACAUUUUAUCUCAAGAUAUGGGAGCUUCAAGAAGAGCCACACCUAGAGACAAAAUGAUGUACUAUUGAAUUUGACCCUCACAUCUCUUUUAAGACCAACUUCAUGAGUUCCUCAGACAGAUUUCAGGAAAGAAAAGGCUUUCUGUCUCCAGUAAACAGAUAAGAGGAACAUCAUUCCAGAGCUGAAAAAUCUCUAAGAACAGGCGUCACAUGUCAGAAGAGCAGUGUAAGCAUCAAGAAUUUUCAUCUUGCUUUAAAACAUCUCACCAAUCAUGGUUGUAUUCCUGAUGCUAUGAUGACCUACUUCAUUAUUUCUCUCUCAAGGAGGAGAAGUAUAUGGGUUAAUUUGAGACUUCAAGGUGCUGCUCCAAUGCUAUUUUCCAGGUCAUAUUCAAAACAAAAUACAAGGAUGAAAUUACCUUGGAAGCUGUUUGCACACCCGAAUGCUUUAUCCAAAUUUUCACUGAGCCAUAGGAAGAAAAUGACAUCUACAGAACCAAAUUUAAUUAAGCACACAUUGUUCUUGGCCGACUUGAAGUUUCAAUGUGGGUUUCAGGAUACAUGUAACAGGAGGCAUCUUAAUCACUAAAGCAGAAAGACCCACAUUUAUUCUCUCAAAUGAAACAGAAGCCAUCUGCUGUAAUCUGGCAACCUCCAAUGGUGGGACAUGGACACCAAUCCAGCAAGAAAACUUUCAAUCACCAGUGCUCAAGAAAAUACCCAAGAGGUUUUCCCCUUUCUGAAGAACAGUUCCCACUAAGGAUAUCAAAGUUACUAGCUGGUUUAUUGUCUAUUCCUCUUCUUAUCAAGAGACAGACCUGCUAAAUUAAUCAUACAUGCCCUCCUGGAAUAGCACUUGGUCCGUCUGGAAAUGCUGCCCUUCAAGUCUACAAUCUUUGUACAGUAAAAACUGAGUCAAGACAUUAAAGAACCUUCAGGAUUCCCAUUAAGAAAGAAUCGAUACAUUACUCUCUUACCUCAGCUACGCUCAAACUUGGAUUAGAGAGACCCCAGCUAUCCCAAGUUGUCUAUGAGGAGGCCCUGAAAUUCUGAUGAAACAAAGAACAACCAAGGAAGGCAAAGCCACUCCUGCCCUUGACUCCUCGAGCCAAGAGGCCAUUUCCCACUGGAUAUUCUUAUUCGUUGUAAUCUGAUGAGAGUCAAAGACAUGGAAUGAAAGGGCCCUAUAGUAAGCUCAUCUGGAUUCCCCUCACCACUUGCUUAUUAAAAAGUGCCUUCUGCCUAGAGACUGGAAUUAUGGAUGCAUGCCUGGGGAGGUCUUGAGUAGGCUGCAGGAUCUAUAUGGCACAAGCGUGGUGCCUUGAUGGAAGCAGUGAAGUGUCACCAUGUUGAACUCCAGGCUUUCACAGUAACUGCUCAUCAACUCUCUCUGGUUCUUUCAUGCUUGGUGGAUGAUAAGCCUUCCUUUCUCUGCUGCUUUGGUCCUGGUGCUACUCCACUUUUUUCUGUACACUCAGUUCUGCCCAAAUCACCAUGAAUACUCCUUCCUCCAAAGUACCUCUAUGACUUCCAAAAGAUCCCAGCUGUUUUCCUUGUAACUUCCGGUCCAAUGCAACAUGGUGUGUUCCAGAGUCUAAAAUUUAGGUACUAAAUUAUAUGCAUAGUGAGAAUGGGGAGAGUCUAGUGGGUGGAGAUGAAAGAAAAUUAAUUUCUCAAUGUUAGAUAGUA